rnacentral:rRNA from 1 species
GACCCGUCUUGAAACACGGACCAAGGAGUUUAUCAUGUGCGCAAGUCAUUGGGUGUUGAAAACCCAGAGGCGCAAUGAAAGUGAAGGUAUCCCUCGCGGAGCCGACGUGCGAGCACGGGCACUGCGGUGUCCGAGUGCAGCAUGGCCCCAUCCUGACUGCUUGCAGUGGGGUGGAGGAAGAGCGUACGCGGUGAGACCCGAAAGAUGGUGAACUAU